GGGGCCGGUCGGGCAGCCGCUGUACCGGACGGACCUUGCCCUCAGGUGGCGGGGUUCGGCGCCGGUAGGGAGGAAAGUCCGGGCUCCACAGGGCAAGGCGCCAGGUAACGCCUGGGGGAUGUAAGUCCACGGAAAGUGCCACAGAAAAUAUACCGCCCGUUCCUGGCUCUCUAUUACGUAGGGGCCGCCGGAAGCGGGUAAGGGUGAAAUGGUGCGGUAAGAGCGCACCGCGCCCCGGGUAACCGGGGUGGCAGGGUAAACCCCGCCUGGAGCAAGACCAAAUAAGGGGAGUUGGCCACGCCUUUGCGCGUGGCUUGGGCGCGGCCCGCGCCAUCCCCGGGUAGGUCGCUGGAGGCGCAUGGCGACGUGCGCCCAAGAUGAAUGGCUGCCCCGGGACCGCCGGAUUCGGCGGGUUCCCGGACAGAACCCGGCUUAUAGACCGGCUCCCGCG
rnacentral:RNase_P_RNA from 1 species